GAGCCGGUGGCUCAAUGGUAGAGCGUUAGACUCAAAUACCAAAGGUCGGGGGUUCAAAUCCCAGGUGUCCCA
rfam:Schistocephalus solidus strain NST_G2 genome assembly, scaffold: SSLN_scaffold0009434